ensembl:snRNA U6 U6 spliceosomal RNA
UUGCUUUAGCAGCAAAUAUACUAAAAUUGGAAAGAUACAGAGAAAAUUACUCUGGGCUUUGCACAAGAAUGAUACGCACAUUUAUGAGCAAUUCUGUGUUUUU